GGAAGGUGAGGAUCGUUAGCCGUGGUAGGCAGUUCACCUAGGAGAGGGACAACUCCGAACAACAAACACGGGCAGGUGAGGAUCGUUAGCCGUGGUAGGCAGUUCACCUAGGAGAGGGACAACUCCGAACAACAAACACGGGCAGGUGAGGAUCGUUAGCCGUGGUAGGCAGUUCACCUAGGAGAAGGACAACUCCGAACAACAAACACGGGCAGGUGAGGAUCGUUAGCCGUGGUAGGCAGUUCACCUAGGAGAGGGACAACUCCGAACAACAAACACGGGCAGAUGGGGCUCGUUAGCCGUGGUAGGCAGUUCACCUAGGAGAAGGACAACUCCGAACAACAAACACGGGCAGGUGAGGAUCGUUAGCCGUGGUAGGCAGUUCACCUAGGAGAGGGACAACUCCGAACAACAAACACGGGCAGGUGAGGAUCGUUAGCCGUGGUAGGCAGUUCACCUAGGAGAGGGACAACUCCGAACAACAAACACGGGCAGGUGAGGAUCGUUAGCCGUGGUAGGCAGUUCACCUAGGAGAGGGACAACUCCGAACAACAAACACGGGCAGGUGAGGAUCGUUAGCCGUGGUAGGCAGUUCACCUAGGAGAAGGACAACUCCGAACAACAAACACGGGCAGGUGAGGAUCGUUAGCCGUGGUAGGCAGUUCACCUAGGAGAAGGACAACUCCGAACAACAAACACGGGAAGGUGGAGAUCGUUAGCCGUGGUAGGCAGUUCACCUAGGAGAGGGACAACUCCGAACAACAAACACGGGCAGAUGGGGCUCGUUAGCCGUGGUAGGCAGUUCACCUAGGAGAGGGACAACUCCGAACAACAAACCCGGGCAGGUGGAGCUCGUUAGCCGCAAGGUAGUUCGCCUAGGAGAGCAAACUCCGAUUACAAACCCGGGCUGGUGGAGCUCGUUAGCGUAAGGCAGUUCACCUAGGAGAGCAAACUCCGAUUACAAACCCGGGCUGGUGGAGCUCGUUAGCGUAAGGCAGUUCACCUAGGAGAGCAAACUCCGAUUACAAACCCGGGCUGGUGGAGGUCGUUAGCGUAAGGCAGUUCACCUAGGAGAGCAAACUCCGAUUACAAACCCGGGCUGGUGGAGCUCGUUAGCGUAAGGCAGUUCACCUAGGAGAGCAAACUCCGAUUACAAACCCGGGCUGGUGGAGCUCGUAAGCGUAAGGCAGUUCACCUAGGAGAAGGACAACUCCGAACAACAAACCCGGGCAGGUGGAGAUCGUUAGCCGUGGUAGGCAGUUCACCUAGGAGAAGGACAACUCCGAACAACAAACCCGGGCAGGUGGAGAUCGUUAGCCGUGGUAGGCAGUUCACCUAGGAGAGGGACAACUCCGAACAACAAACCCGGGCAGGUGGAGAUCGUUAGCCGUGGUAGGCAGUUCACCUAGGAGAGGGACAACUCCGAACAACAAACCCGGGCAGGUGGAGCUCGCUAGCCGCAAGGUAGUUCACCUAGGAGAGGAAACUCCGAUUAAAAACCCGGGCUGGUGGAGCUCGUUAGCGUAAGGCAGUUCACCUAGGAGAGCAAACUCCGAAUACAAACCCGGGCUGGUGGAGCUCGUUAGCGUAAGGCAGUUCACCUAGGAGAGCAAACUCCGAUUACAAACCCGGGCUGGUGGAGCUCGUUAGCGUAAGGCAGUUCACCUAGGAGAAGGACAACUCUGACCACAAACCCGGGCAGGAGGGGUUCGUUAGCCGUGGUAGGCAGUCCUCCUAGGAGAAGGAAAACUCCGAAAUCAAACCAACCAACCAAAUAAAUAAAUAAAAUAAAAUAAAAUAAACAAAUUAAACAAUUAAAUAAAUAAGUAAAUAAAUAAAAUACAGUAAAAUUAAAUAUAAAUAUACUACAAUACAAA